CGCGUAGGCGGGAUGGCAAGUCGGUCGUGAAAUCCCUCGGCUCAACUGAGGAGUGCCGAUCGAAACUGCCGUUCUUGAGGGUUGCAGAGGAGACUGGAAUUCCCGGUGUAGCGGUGAAAUGUGUAGAGAUCGGGAGGAACACCGGUGGCGAAGGCGGGUCUCUGGGCAACUCCUGACGCUGAGGCGCGAAAGCGUGGGGAGCAAACA
rnacentral:rRNA from 1 species